CCCUGCCCCUUCAGCCCCAGAUUCUGGUGUGUAGCACACAUUGGAAAUGAUCACCCAUGCCCUAAUUUUACCGACUAGAAAACGGACAUGAAGCUGGCGAGUCACAUGCCCCAAGUAAACAAGCUGCACACCCUGAGCUCGCCUGUCCCAGCAAGGCCUCCUGAGAGGGGACGGGGGACACCAGCCGCUUUCCACCCACCCCUCCAUCACCUCCCCUGAAAUCCUCACACCCUGCGUCUUCCCUGGAUCUUGGCAGAACCCAAAUUCCUAUCCUGUUUGAAAUUCUUUCUGCUAUUUCAGAUUUCUCUUUGGGGAUGAAUUGAGGUCUGCCUCCGAAAACGAGAAGUCCAGCCUCGCAGGGAGAACCCGUGGCGUGUCGCCGGCUGCUCUCUCUUCCUCUACCUGGAAGGGGCAUCGGGGGUUGCCCGGUUCAGCCCCAGAAGGAAAGUGAAACUGACAGGAGAGAAACAGCCUCUCCAAAGUCACAUGGACACGAGCCAUCAUUCCCAACCAACCAAAGGACAGGGCGUCAGCCCGAAGACCCUGUGUUCAUCCCAGAACGGCUACAUUGGACAUGAAUUUUGAGAAUCAGUCUCUGAGGUUCUAGAUGGUGCUUUUGUUUCCAUCAGUGACUUUCCUGUGCCCACCCAGAGCGGAAAACAGGGAUUCUAUGAAGAAGUAGGAGCUCUCUCCCCAGGCCCCACACACAGCCUGGCAACCCUGCCUCCCAUGGGCACCGCUACUCCUGCCCCAGCACUGACUGGGCAUGGGAGGACUCCUAAACCACCACCACCACCUCUCCUAAUGUCAUGGGCAAGAAGGGGGGAAUUCCUGCACCUAAUAACUCAAAUCUGGUAGCCAAGCUGAUUUGGGACAGGGAUAGACAGUUAUUGUUAAAGAGAAUAUU
rnacentral:lncRNA from 1 species